GAGAUAAGCGACCACACAAGACAACACGCGAUUGUUUAUCCAAUUCGAAUCAUCGGUAUGAUGAAUCUACGUCUGGGGCCAGAUUCAAUCCAUCAAUCCACUACGAAGAAUCAAUCGUUUCUCUCUCUUGAGCUCAAAAAAGAGCUUCAGACCAUCUCCAAUAGGAGGAUGUAAUCAAAAAAUUGUUGGGUUCUCUUGUUUAAUGACAAUAAAAACAAAUCAAAACUGAUAAAAAUCAAGAGAGUCGGCUUUCUGGGGAGAAGAUAAUCUGGACAUAACUAGGAUUUGUAUUAGAUAACUCCUAGUACACAUAUUUUAGAUAACUCCUAAAAUAAUAAGCCUAAUUUCCUUUUUCUUCAUUAGUAACUUGCUCUUCAAGUCACUUAUCCUUCAAGCUUAAUCCAACAU
rnacentral:sRNA from 1 species